UCCCUGGUGGUCUAGUGGUUAGGAUUCGGCGCUCUCACCGCCCGCGCCCGGGUUCGAUUCGGUCAGGGAA
rnacentral:tRNA from 1 species